UCCUACGGGGGGCAGCAGUGAGGAAUAUUGGUCAAUGGCCGAGAGGCUGAACCAGCCAAGUCGCGUGAGGGAUGACGGCCCUACGGGUUGUAAACCUCUUUUGUCGGGGAGCAAGACCCGCCUCGUGCAGGCAGAGCGAGAGUACCCGAAGAAAAAGCAUCGGCUAACUCCGUGCCAGCAGCCGCGGUAAUACGGAGGAUGCGAGCGUUAUCCGGAUUUAUUGGGUUUAAAGGGUGCGCAGGCUGACCAUCAAGUCAGCGGUAAAAUCGCGGGGCUCAACCUCGCUCCGCCGU
rnacentral:rRNA from 1 species